UAUCCGGAUUUAUUGGGUUUAAAGGGUGCGUAGGCGGCCUUUUAAGUCAGCGGUGAAAGUCUGUGGCUCAACCAUAGAAUUGCCGUUGAAACUGGGGGGCUUGAGUAUGUUUGAGGCAGGCGGAAUGCGUGGUGUAGCGGUGAAAUGCAUAGAUAUCACGCAGAACUCCGAUUGCGAAGGCAGCCUGCCAAGCCAUGACUGACGCUGAUGCACGAAAGCGUGGGGAUCAAACAGGAUUAGAUACCCUGGUAGUCCACGCAGUAAACGAUGAUCACUAGCUGUUUGCGAUACACUGUAAGCGGCACAGCGAAAGCGUUAAGUGAUCCACCUGGGGAGUACGCCGGCAACGGUGAAACUCAAAGGAAUUGACGGGGGCCCGCACAAGCGGAGGAACAUGUGGUUUAAUUCGAUGAUACGCGAGGAACCUUACCCGGGUUUGAACGCAUUCGGACCGAGGUGGAAACACCUUUUCUAGCAAUAGCCGUUUGCGAGGUGCUGCAUGGUUGUCGUCAGCUCGUGCCGUGAGGUGUCGGCUUAAGUGCCAUAACGAGCGCAACCCUUGCCACUAGUUACUAACAGGUAAAGCUGAGGACUCUGGUGGGACUGCCAGCGUAAGCUGCGAGGAAGGCGGGGAUGACGUCAAAUCAGCACGGCCCUUACAUCCGGGGCGACACACGUGUUACAAUGGCGUGGACAAAGGGAAGCCACCUGGCGACAGGGAGCGAAUCCCCAAACCACGUCUCAGUUCGGAUCGGAGUCUGCAACCCGACUCCGUGAAGCUGGAUUCGCUAGUAAUCGCGCAUCAGCCAUGGC
rnacentral:rRNA from 1 species